UACGCAGGGAGCAAGCGCUAAUCGCAAUUACUGAUGGUAAAGCACACGUAAGCCCUCACUUAAAUCGGAUGUGAAAUCCCCGGGCUCAAACUGGAAACUGCAUUCCAUACUGUGUGUCCAGACUAUGGGAAAGUGCACUGUAAUUCCAGGUGUAGCGUAGAAGUGCGUACAUAUCUGGAGGAACAUCGAUGAUUAAAGCGACUCCCUGCCUUAAUACUGACUCUGAGGUGCGAAAGCGUGAGAAGCAAACAGUAAUAGAUACCCUGUAAGGCCACGCCGUAGACGAUGUCUGCUAGUCGUUGUAGACCUUACUGUUUCUAGUGUGAGAACUUAACGCGAUCAGCAGGCCCCCUGGGGAGUACGCGCGCAAGGUUAAAACUCAAAAGAAUUCACGGGGCACCGCACAAGCGGUGGAGCAUGUGGUGUAACUCGAAGCAACGCGAAGAACCUCACCUACUCUUGACAUCCAGGGAACUUGGCAGAGAUGCCUCGGUGCCGUCGGGAAUCCUGAGACAGGUGCUGCAUGGCUGUCGUCAGCUCGUGUCGUGAGAAAUUGCGAUAAGUACCGUACCGAGCGCACGCCUUAUCCUUACAGGGUACCAAAUAGUUGAGACCUCUAGGGAGACCGCCGGUGACAAUCCGGAGGAAUGGCGGGGACGACGUCAAGUCAUCAUGGCCCUUACGAGUAGGGCUACACACGUGCUACAAUGGGGCGCACAGAGGGUUGUGAAGCCUCGAGGAGGAGCCAAUCCCAGAAAACGUCUCGUAGUCCGGAUCGGAGUCUGCAACUCGACUCCGAGAAGUCGGAAUCCGUAGUAAUCGCGGAUCAGAAAUCCGCGGAGAAUACGCUCCCGGGCCU
rnacentral:rRNA from 1 species